AUUGAACGCUGGCGGCAUGCCUUACACAUGCAAGUCGAACGGCAGCACGGGAGCAAUCCUGGUGGCGAGUGGCGAACGGGUGAGUAAUAUAUCGGAACGUGCCCAGUCGUGGGGGAUAACGCAGCGAAAGCUGAGCUAAUACCGCAUACGAUCUACGGAUGAAAGCGGGGGAUCGCAAGAACUCGCGCGAUUGGAACCGCCGAUAUCAGAUUAGCUAGUUGGUGGGGUAAAGGCCCACCAAGGCGACGAUCUGUAGCUGGUCUGAGAGGACGACCAGCCACACUGGAACUGAGACACGGUCCAGACUCCUACGGGAGGCAGCAGUGGGGAAUUUUGGACAAUGGGCGCAAGCCUGAUCCAGCAAUGCCGCGUGCAGGAUGAAGGCCUUCGGGUUGUAAACUGCUUUUGUACGGAACGAAACGGCCCUUUCUAAUACAGGGGGCUAAUGACGGUACCGUAAGAAUAAGCACCGGCUAACUACGUGCCAGCCGCCGCCGUAA
rnacentral:rRNA from 1 species